AGAAACUGCUGGAUGCUGAGAGGAACGCAUCAGUGGAAGAAAACAAGCGGCUGGACGUGGAGAGGACGUCAAGGGAGCAUGCCGGCGGAAGAGCACACCACAGACGCCGGCAGGCCACCGAGCGGCAGGACCAGGCGGAGUUUGGCCGGGGCAGUCGGAGGAGAGCUAGGCCACUAAGCAGCUCAACUCCAGGAGAUAAACCAUCUCCCUUGUGGCUCCUCCGUCGGCUGAGAGCUGCUUCCACUCAAUAACACUUUGCACUCGUUCUCCAAGCCCCCGUGUGAUCCGAUUCUUCUGGUACACCCAGGCAAGAACCCAGGAUACAGAAAGGCCUCGGUCCUUUCCACAAGUACCUCUACUUGAGGUACUCAUUGACCUGGUUAACACAAGCUGCCUACAGACGCCAAAACUAAGGGCACCCUGGAACACAGGCUUCAGCUGUAAACAUUCACCCCUGGGCACUGCCGUGGGGUGGGAGCCUGCCUGAGUGUAUGCUCCCCUAGAGGUUUGAGCUGCGGGGCACUGAAGAAGUGAGCCACACUCCCAUCGCACACUGCGAGGGGGACAAAGGAACUUUUCCUCUUUUAACUGGGGCCUCAUCUGGAAUCUCGGAAGGUGAAUGUCUGCCUUCGAAAACCCUACCACCUGUCUUUCUUGUGGAUCACCCUGGCCUGCCAUGCCCCCAUCCUGGGCCUAUAAAAACCCUGAGACCCUAGCAAGGCAGAGAUAGAAGCUGCCGGAUGCUGAGAGAAACACAUCAGUGGAAGGGAAGAAGAAAAGCGGCUGGACAUGGAGAGGACGUCAGUGGAGCAUGCCGGCGGAAGAGCACACCCACAGACCCUGGCACGCCGGCAGGCCACGUAGCGGCAGGCCACGUAGCGGCAGGCCACGUAGCGGCAGGCCACGUAGCGGCAGGCCAAGGCGGAGUUUGGCCGGGGCAGUCGGAGGAGAGCUAGGCCACUAAGCAGCUCAACUCCAGGAGAAAACCAUCUCCCUUCUGGCUCCUCCAUCAGCUGAGAGCUGCUUCCACUCAAUAACACUUCGCACUGAUUCUCCAAGCCCAGGUGUGAUCCGAUUCUUCUGGUACACCCAGGCAAGAACCCAGGAUACAGACAGCCCUCUGUCCUUUUGAUAACUAGAGGGUCUCAUUGACCUGGUUAACACAAGCUGCCUACAGACGGCAAAACUAAAAGAGCACCCUGGAACACACGCCCACUGGGGCUUCAGCUGUAAACAUUCACCCCUAGACACGGCUAUGGGGUUGGAGCCUGCCUGUCUGUAUGCUCCCCUAGAGGUUUGGGCAGCAGGGCACUGAAGAAUCAAGCCACACCCCCAUCGCACACCCUGCGAGGGGGACAAGGGAACCUUUCUCUUUUCAGUUGGUCUUAAUAAACACUGAGUAAAUG
rnacentral:lncRNA from 10 species